UACGAAGGGUGCAGGCGUUAAUCGGAAUUACUGGGCGUAAAGGGUGCGUAGGCGGUUGUUUAAGUCUGUCGUGAAAUCCCCGGGCUCAACCUGGGAAUGGCGAUGGAUACUGGGCAGCUAGAGUGUGUCAGAGGAUGGUGGAAUUCCCGGUGUAGCGGUGAAAUGCGUAGAGAUCGGGAGGAACAUCAGUGGCGAAGGCGGCCAUCUGGGACAACACUGACGCUGAAGCACGAAAGCGUGGGGAGCAAACAGG
rnacentral:rRNA from 1 species